rnacentral:rRNA from 1 species
AUGAAACACGGAGCAAUCUGUGGCUUAUAGAUGGGCCUGCGGCGCAUUAGCUAGUUGGUAGGGUAACGGCCUACCAAGGCGACGAUGCGUAGCCGACCUGAGAGGGUGAACGGCCACACUGGGACUGAGACACGGCCCAGACUCCUACGGGAGGCAGCAGUAGGGAAUCUUCCGCAAUGGACGCAAGUCUGACGGAGCAACGCCGCGUGAGUGAUGAAGGUUUUCGGAUCGUAAAGCUCUGUUGCCCUAGACGAACAGCAAGGCGAGUAACUGCGCUUUGUGUGACGGUAUAGGAGAAGAAAGCCCCGGCUAACUACGUGCCAGCAGCCGCGGUAAUACGUAGGGGGCAAGCGUUGUCCGGAAUUAUUGGGCGUAAAGCGCGCGCAGGCGGUUAAUUAAGUUGGGUGUUUAAGCCCGGGGCUCAACCCCGGUUCGCAUCCAAAACUGGUUGACUUGAGUGUAGGAGAGGAAAGUGGAAUUCCCACGUGUAGCGGUGAAAUGCGUAGAGAUGUGGAGGAACA